rnacentral:rRNA from 1 species
CUUGAGGCGUGGCUUCCGGAGCUAACGCGUUAAGUCGACCGCCUGGGGAGUACGGCCGCAAGGUUAAAACUCAAAUGAAUUGACGGGGGCCCGCACAAGCGGUGGAGCAUGUGGUUUAAUUCGAUGCAACGCGAAGAACCUUACCUACUCUUGACAUCCACGGAAUUCGGCAGAGAUGCCUUAGUGCCUUCGGGAACCGUGAGACAGGUGCUGCAUGGCUGUCGUCAGCUCGUGUUGUGAAAUGUUGGGUUAAGUCCCGCAACGAGCGCAACCCUUAUCCUUUGUUGCCAGCGAUACGGUCGGGAACUCAAAGGAGACUGCCGGUGAUAAACCGGAGGAAGGUGGGGAUGACGUCAAGUCAUCAUGGCCCUUACGAGUAGGGCUACACACGUGCUACAAUGGCGCAUACAAAGAGAAGCGACCUCGCGAGAGCAAGCGGACCUCACAAAGUGCGUCGUAGUCCGGAUCGGAGUCUGCAACUCGACUCCGUGAAGUCGGAAUCGCUAGUAAUCGUGGAUCAGAAUGCCACGGUGAAUACGUUCCCGGGCCUUGUACACACCGCCCGUCACACCAUGGGAGUGGGUUGCAAAAGAAGUAGGUAGCUUAACCUUCGGGAGGGCGCUA